rnacentral:rRNA from 1 species
AUGGACAUCGCAGCCACCGCCGUUCCGGACCUCGCGGCAGCGGCAGCGGGCAAGGCCAUCGCGGAGUGGGGCCGCCCAGCCGCCGACAUCACCCACCUCGUCGUCAGCACCUACUCCGGCGCCCACAUGCCAGGCGUCGACCUCCGCCUGGCCUCCCUCCUCGGCCUCGACCCGUCCGUCCGCCGCACCAUGCUCUACCUCAACGGCUGCUCCAGCGGGUCCGCCGCGCUCCGCGUCGCCAAGGACAUAGCCGAGAACAACCGCGGUGCCCGCGUCCUUGUCGCCUGCGCCGAGCUCACCCUCAUCUUGUUCCGCGCGCCCGACGAGGCCCACGUCGACACGAUCAUCAUGCAGGCUCUCUUCGGCGACGGCGCGGCCGCCGUGAUAGUCGGAGCCGAACCCGACGCCUCCGCCGAGCGCCCGAUUUUCGAGAUGGUGGCCGCCUCGCAGAGCGUGAUACCUGAGAGUACGCACGGCGCGGUCGGGCGACUUCGGGAAGACGGGCUCGUCUUCAACCCUUCCUUCGAGAUGCCGGCGCUGAUCCGGGAAAACAUCGAGCAGUGCAUGGCCGACGCAGUCGGACCGCUUGGGUUGAGCGGUGGCUGGAACGACCUUUUCUGGGCGGUGCAUCCCGGCGGGCGGGCAAUCUUGGACAGCGUGGAGGCGGGACUCCGGUUGGAGCCAAAGAAGCUGACGGCAAGCCGACAUGUACUCAGUGAGUACGGAAACAUGUCCGGGCCGACAGUGAUCUUCGUCCUCGACGAGAUCCGCCGCCGUCGUGAGCAUGUGGUGGGUCGCCACGGUCUGGGUGUAUUGCUUGGGCUCGGACCGGGUGUCUCGGUUGAGACGAUGGUGUUGCGUGCCACUUGGUAG